GAAGCAAUGGACAAAAUUUGAAUGGGACGCAUCACUCGUUUUUUAUAACGUUGUGGAGAAAGGGUCAUGUUGAAGGGGAAGGAUUUCCUUUAAACGACUACAGUCGGAAGCGAUGGGGACGAGCGCUUUUACCCAGCAAACACAAACAGAGGGCGCUACAACGACACAACGCGUGGACCACUCUCACAACGAAAAAUUGAAGACGAUCUUCACUGAUGCCGUACGCGAGUCUUCGCAUAAGGGACCAGUAUUCCGUACCACGGAACAACUUGCAGAGUCGACAAAGCUGUAGGCCUAUACUCAUCUGCAGCAGCUAGCUAUAGCGUACUACCAGACAUUGUAAACCCUACAUCAUCUCCCGCCUUACGCCUCUCUGCAAGCAAGUUCCAUCGCGACAACUCCCCGCUAGCACUGAUUGUGGCACCUUGCUAACUGACAAUCCAAUCAUCCUCAAACCAGUUUCUUGUCUGGGACCGGACAGACAACCCAGACAGUCAUCCCACUUCGCCGUGUCAUCGCCACGAUUCUCAUUAGCCUAAUAUUACUUGAGGACCCGGUUGCAUAGCCCACCGGGUAGGCUUCGUACGAAUCCAGGGCAAACUGUUUAAAGACCUACAUGCUAUUAUAUACACAGGCCGACUACCGGAUUAUCAGUUCACGAUCUGGAGUGUAAGAUGUAAACAUGGCUGUCAAACAAAACAUCGAGUGAAUCGUCUUCUUUGUGACAAUGCCAUGUUAAGCCUUUACAUCAGUUGCUGAGGGUUUGUGCAGUGCUAUUUUUGUGUUCUGUUGGGGGGGAGGUUAGGGGGUAAAAUACGCAUGUGUAAUUAAUGGAACAUUUUAAUGAAAAUUACAGGUUAAGAUUGCUUUACUGUAACAAUAUGUAUUCUCCUGUUAUUUGAUUAAUGGUGGAAGGGGUCGGUUCUGAGCUAUUUUUUUUUCAGCAAAUUGGUGAUUUCCACCCCCAUUUCUCUCUGUUUUCUUGUUUAAUCUCUCAUAUUUUGCCUAUUGCAAAUCCAAGCUAAUACCACUAGCUUCGACAGUUUCGAAUCAAAACUAGUAAUGGAUGAAACGGGAGGAAUUUUGUUCCCAAAAAUAUUCUCGAUAUUUUCUUCCGUGAUGGAAACAUGGAGGAAAGAAAGCGAAUGAUGGAAAGCCAGGACGGGAAGGAGAAAUUUUUUUUUUUACAUGAACAUCUUUUCGACAAAAGGCGCCUUCUCCUGCUGGCCAGCUGGAUACGGGCUUAAAUUAUUUUUUCGCCGUGUAUGACACGUCUCACAAGCCGGGCGCGCAUAUUAAUGGCUGGUCAGGCGGGCAAAGCGUACCGACCUGUUAAAUGGUGGCGCCCUUUGACUUUAACGGCCGCCUCGCGCGCGGGCCACUGGCAGCAUGAAGCUUCCUCCUCAGCUCAUUUUCGUCCCGUCGUCGCUGACGAAUGGGAUGUAAUUUCAACGUACGAUUGAAUCACCGUUCGAGAUUAGGGCGUGCAAAGUUAACAUUAAAUCCCAGAAUAGAGAUGCCUCUAUUCCUAAACGUGCCAAGUUAACAUCCGUAUACACAGAUUAAAAUUUUACGAGAUCGAGAGGAGGUGGACGCCACCAAUACGACAAUUCUGUACCCCUCUCCCUCGUGGGAGCUGAGGAACAGGUUGGUUCAUUCUGACAAGAAUUCCUUACUACUGACAGUGGAAGAUGUGGAAUGAUCUGAUUUUUCCCCCAGAUUUCGUUCCAUCCAGCUGGUCUUACUGACACAAGAAACAUGGGAUAGGCUAGUAUUGGAUGACUGUGGUAACCACGGUGACAUGACUAGCGCCAUGAACCUUUUGUGUAACUCGAGUUAGUGACUCAACUUGAGUCUGACUGGAGUUAGGCCCCCUACAAGUUUUUGUGUCUCAACUUGAGUCCCAAAGAUAAAUGACGUUUUUUUGAGUCAUUGCGAGCAAAUGAACAGGACUCGAGUCAUACAUUACUCUAUAAAAUAAUCACAGAAUUUAGUGAAUUGCUGCAACUAUGCAAGAGAUAUUGCCACAUUUUGAUGGGGACUUCAUAUCGUCCUGUGAAAUAGUCCUCAGCACCGUAUUCUUACAUUUUAGAGAAUUGUUAGGUAACAGUAAAGUUGGCUUGAUUUUAUGAGGUGUUUCUGCACUCAGGGUCCAAGCAAAGUUGCCCAAGUCUGUCCUAGAAUGAUAAGGAUGAGACAGGCUUAAAUCUGCUGGGCGAGCUGGGCUUCAUCAUAUUGGCCAGGCAAGUGGAAUGGAAGAAAUGCGAUUACGACGUUUUACACAUGGUGAAAUUCUCCAUCUUGCACUGCUGCACAGUGCUACAUGAUCUUAUACCGUUACCAUCAUUAAGUACCGCAGAAGUAAAACACACAUGAAAUUUAUACAAGUAUUAUCUAAGGUUCAAAGUACUGAAGUCAAUCCGAGGUCGCUCAUGGGGCAUAGCAGUGUUCAACAGGGGCCCCAGGUCGAGUGUAAUUAGGUCACCACAAGGAGUGCAUCCUAAAAGCAGUCCCAUUGUACUCCGACUUGAAUCAUAGGGCAAGGUCCCAGACUGGGUGUCCUGUGACCACCAUGUGAUCAGCUUGUUGACCUGUGAUGACCCUUUUUGACUGAAACAGAGGAAACAGAGUCAUCAAAGUGUGUCCCUGGGUCCCUGCUCUAUGCUUCAAUGCUGGGGCUCACAAUAGGCCUACAUAUGGAUGGCCUGACACUUUGUUUACACAUGCACUUUUGUAUGGAGUCAGUGGGGGCCCAUUCUCCACUGAUCAUGAGAGGAAAGCCCACAUGUAAACAGAGUGUCAGUGUUCCGUAUAGUUCAUGCUCCAUUACUUCAUACACGUGUAUAUGGAGCAUGAUCUACAAGUUUAUGCUAUAGCUGGUAUAAUGACAGUUCAUAUGAUUUAACUGGUUAGCGUUAAUUCAAUGUAAUUAUGACACCUGUACCUUGAUUCUCUCUGGAAAGGAAUAAACACAUGGUGGGAAGAACAAACAAAACUCUUGUUUACUUUUUCUGAAGUGUCAGCAACUGUAGAUGGCUAAAUUUAGUAGAUGCUGAACAUAUAUCGACCUCUCCAGAUUUUGUCUAGUUGUGUUCAUUUUCGUAUGUAUAUUUCUUAAAAAUCAAAUAUUUUUCUUGACUAAAAUCCUCAAAAGUUGCUUCCAACAGUAAGCACAUGUAGAUGAUUUUAACAGUUACCAUUUCAGCGCUCUCUUUGUUGUGGAAUUUGAUAUUUGUCAAGUCUUCAAACCUGUCAGUUUUCCAGAAAAGCUUGGACAAUUUUAAAUCUUUAAAAAAGGGCACUUUUCAAUUUACAUUCUACCCCGAAAGGAUAUUCAAAUAAUGUUCAUACUCUGAAGAUGAAAUUCGUCCCAUGGAACCUUGGUUUAAUUAAUGGCAAUAGAUAAAGUUUUUCAUUUUGUCCACAUGUUAAUGCAUGUAUAUGGAAGUACUGAGAAGCCGAGAUGCUUUUGUGCAGGUCUCUUAUGCUGGUAGAGUGGUCCUUUUGUGAAGUUCAAAUGGCUUAUGUGUAAAAAACAGCAAUUGUUUUUAUCUGAAACUACUAGAUCUGAUGUCUGUGGGACAGGAAAUUUAUUCUUUGGUUAAUUUUGCAAAAUGGGUUCUUCUUUGUUCUCAUUUCCUGUUGCUAUCCUGAUUUAAUCAGCACUGUUCAAGUUCGAGAUGCCCAAAUGCUUAUAAAAAAUAACCCGAGUAACAUGAUGCCUUUUCAAUUUCAAACAAUGUAAGUUGAGACUAAAUAAAGAAUAAUUUCCUCAUGUUUUCACUGUCUCCCCCCCCCAAAAAACAUCGAUUUUCUGAGACUGCUUUCAGUUCAGAAUAGGCAUGACUAGGCAUUUACUUUUUAGGAACAAAAUUCUUUCUUAGUAAGAUCUGUGUGUUUUUUACACGUCCAUUGUAGAUAUUGCACAGAACAAGUGUAUGUAUAUUUUUUACUAAA